AUUGAACGCUGGCGGCAGGCCUAACACAUGCAAGUCGAGCGGCAGCGGGAAAGUAGCUUGCUACUUUUGCCGGCGAGCGGCGGACGGGUGAGUAAUGCCUGGGAAAUUGCCCAGUCGAGGGGGAUAACAGUUGGAAACGACUGCUAAUACCGCAUGCGCCCUACGGGGGAAAGCAGGGGACCUUCGGGCCUUGCGCGAUUGGAUAUGCCUAGGUGGGAUUAGCUAGUUGGUGAGGUAAUGGCUCACCAAGGCGACGAUCCCUAGCUGGUUCUGAGAGGAUGAUCAGCCACACUGGAACUGAGACACGGUCCAGACUCCUACGGGAGGCAGCAGUGGGGAAUAUUGCACAAUGGGGGAAACCCUGAUGCAGCCAUGCCGCGUGUGUGAAGAAGGCCUUCGGGUUGUAAAGCACUUUCAGCGAGGAGGAAAGGUUGAUGCCUAAUACGUAUCAACUGUGACGUUACUCGCAGAAGAAGCACCGGCUAACUCCGUGCCAGCAGCCGCCGUAACAC
rnacentral:rRNA from 1 species